rnacentral:rRNA from 1 species
UACAGAGGGUGCAAGCGUUAAUCGGAAUUACUGGGCGUAAAGCGUGCGUAGACGGUUAUGUAAGUCGGGUGUGAAAGCCCCGGGCUCAACCUGGGAAUGCCAUUCGAGACUGCAUAGCUAGGGUGCGGAAGAGGGAAGCGGAAUUUCCGGUGUAGCGGUGAAAUGCGUAGAUAUCGGAAGGAACACCAGUGGCGAAAGCGGCUUCCUGGUCCAGCACCGACGUUCAGGCACGAAGCGUGGGAGCAACAGG